AAUAGGUUAUCUUUUUUUAGACUUUAAGGGUUUAGCUACAGCCUUAGCGUUUAUUUUAGGCUUAUUA
rnacentral:tRNA from 1 species